AUUGAACGCUGGCGGCAUGCCUAACACAUGCAAGUCGAGCGGAGCGGCGGACGGGUGCGUCAUGCCUGGGCAUCUGCCUGGUAGUGGGGGAUCACGUCCGGAAACGGGCGCUGAUCCCGCAUCCUAUCCGAUGAGCCUCGGUCGGAUUAGCUAGUUGGUGGGGUAAAGGCCUACCAAGGCGACGAUCCGUAACUGGUCUGAGAGGAUGAUCAGUCACACUGGAACUGAGACACGGGCCAGACUCCUACGGGAGGCAGCAGUGGGGAAUAUUGGACAAUGGGCGAAAGCCUGAUCCAGCCAGGCCGCGUGUGUGAAGAAGGUCUUCGGAUUGUAAAGAACUUUAAGUUGGGAGGCGUUACCAACAGAAUAAGCACCGGCUAACUACGUGCCAGCAGCCGCGGUAAUUC
rnacentral:rRNA from 1 species